CAGCAGCCACGGGAAUACGUAGGGUGCAAGCGUUAAUCGGAAUUACUGGGCGUAAAGCGUGCGCAGGCGGUUAUAUAAGACAGAUGUGAAAUCCCCGGGCUCAACCUGGGAACUGCAUUUGUGACUGUAUAGCUAGAGUACGGCAGAGGGGGAUGGAAUUCCGCGUGUAGCAGUGAAAUGCGUAGAUAUGCGGAGGAACACCGAUGGCGAAGGCAAUCCCCUGGGCCUGUACUGACGCUCAUGCACGAAAGCGUGGGGAGCAAACAGGAUUAGAUACCCCUGUAGUCCCUGUCUCUUAUAU
rnacentral:rRNA from 1 species